rnacentral:rRNA from 1 species
ACAGGAGACACACGGCGGGUGCUAACGUCCGUCGUGAAGAGGGAAACAACCCAGACCGCCAGCUAAGGUCCCAAAGUCAUGGUUAAGUGGGAAACGAUGUGGGAAGGCCCAGACAGCCAGGAUGUUGGCUUAGAAGCAGCCAUCAUUUAAAGAAAGCGUAAUAGCUCACUGGUCGAGUCGGCCUGCGCGGAAGAUGUAACGGGGCUAAACCAUGCACCGAAGCUGCGGCAGCGACGCUGAUGCGUUGUUGG